AAUUAAAACUAAGACAUUAAGGAACAAUUUUAAUAAAGGAAAGUUGAUCAAAUUUCCACUGUAGAAUGUCCAAUGGAACAGUAUAACCAAGAGAACCAAAACUGAAAUUUUAGAAUUUCACUUAGGGAAUUUGAAAUUUCAAUUGGCAAUCAAUGCUAACACAAUUGUAGCCCAAAAUGUGGUAUGUUGAUGCAAUUAAAAUUAGUAUAACUAUUUAAUAUGAAAAAGUCAACAUUUUGACCAAUUGGUCAAAUGAAUAGUAACCAUAAAUAUACCACAUACAAAGAAUUCAACCCUUAGAGGAAAUUUAUAAGAAAAAUUUAGUGUGCAUAAAUUUAAUUGUUGAAUCAAUUAUGGGAAAUGAGUUGAAUGAAUAUUGAAACGCUUUAAAUUGUAUAUUUCAGUAGAAAAAGAUAUGGGAAAGGAUAGGGAACAAGUGAGUCAAGGCAGAAAGACGACUCAUUAGAGGUUUGUGCACAAUAAUUUUUUAUUUCUCAUUUUUUACUUAAAAAUCUAUUUGAACAUGUAUUAUGAGCAAUUUAUGUUUAUUAUAGCUUCGAGAAAUGUGGUGUUGCCUAUUUUGUAAAUGGAAAUUUAGAAAAAAAAUUUAUUAGUGCUUUGUAUGGAAUGUUUGAACACUAUGAUUUUGAAUUUAGUUUUGGAUUCACACUUGGCAUGGUAAUAUCACUAUGUUCCUCCUCCAUUUAUGGAGUGAGUAUGACUAUAUUCCUCCCUCUUUGACUUGAGUAUGGAUGAGUUCUUAUUAGCUAGCUAGCUAGCCACCUACCUCAUUGAUUUCGAUUAGCGGGGUGAGUAUGCCUUUUCGUGGUGUACAACAUGGCAUGUUCGGAAAUGUUUAUGUCA
rnacentral:misc_RNA from 1 species